GAAACUCACCAGGUCCAGAUGAAAUAAGGAUUGACAGAUUGAGAGCUCUUUCUUGAUUUUUCAGGUGGUGGUGCAUGGCCGUUCUUAGUUCGUGGGGUGACUUGUCUGCUUAAUUGCGAUAACGAGCGAGACCUUACUCUGCUAAAUAGCCAGGCUAACUUUGGUUGGUCGCCGGCUUCUUAGAGAGACUAUCAACUCAAGUUGAUGGAAGUUUGAGGCAAUAACAGGUCUGUGAUGCCCUUAGAUGUUCUGGGCCGCACGCGCGCUACACUGACAGAGCCAACGAGUUCUUUUCCUUGUUCGAAAGAAUUGGGUAAUCUUGUUAAACUCUGUCGUGCUGGGGAUAAAGCAUUGCAAUUAUUGCUUUUCAACGA
rnacentral:rRNA from 1 species